GCAAGCGUAAUGCGCCUCUGUGACAGUUGAUACUGACGGAACAAUGGCUUCGUCGUCGUCUUCGGGGAUGGCGGAACGAUGAGGAAUACCGGGAGCUCGUUAAGUAGAGGAUUUUCAGACUUAUCUCUGACAGUCGGUUUCGAUGUCAGUUCCGAGCCUGUCUUCCUUCCAGAAAGAGGGAUCCUUUUUAUUUAUGAUGCUGUCUUGGUGAACCCGGCAUUCUUUUGGUGAACAAUACAACUUGGUUGAAAUGAAGCUUCUAGCUCAGCAAAGGGAUCUUCAGGUGCCAAUUAUAUUGUUAUCACGUUAUCACCCCUCCCAGAACUCCGAAGCAAACAAUACAUUUCUUAUCUUAAUAGCAGUGUCUACUGUCGCAUGAACUCUCUGUUUAGUGGUUUGAUUGAGGAGAAAAAGAGCUGAGCUUGAUUGGAGAAUUCAUAAGCUGCACUGAGUAAACCUAUGACUGCUAUAAGUACAAUUGUCAAUUUGUCAUUUGGAUGUCAACUAGAGGUUCGGGUUCCUGCUUCACUGGAUCACGUAGCAACUCUGCAAUCUCUUUUGUUUUUUUUCCCCUUUAUAGUAUUUCAUGAUUAUUGUCAUUUUGGAGCAUGUAUCAUGGGAGUGAACAUUUCAUUUUUCUGAGACUUAUAGAGGCUGCAAAGUGCGAUAUGCAGCAACAUCCUGACUACAGCAAUUAUAGACUCCUCAAGGGGCAAACAGACUUUCCCUACGUCAAGGCUAACAAGUUGUCUUUCCCCACUAAUCUUCAUAGUUCAAGGAUGGGUGGUGGUGGUAGUAGUAGCGUAGAGUAUUAAUGAGAAAUAAAAAUCAUAGAUAUUCUUUUCUUUCCCUACUUUUAUUAUUUAAAAAUCAAAGUAAUUAAGUUUAAGUUUUGUUUUGUUUUGUCUUUUUGUUUUUUUUACACCAUUCCUGUCAUUGCUGCUAGUUCACUUUUUUUUAGUGGUUCUCAGGCAAAGAUUCCAGAAAUUGAUAGGUGUUCGGAUGUUAAUGCCAUAUUGCACACUAGGAAGGGUACUGAUGAGGUUCAUUUUUGGUGUGAAUUUGCGUAAUUUUCAGUAUGCUUGGUAGUUUAUCAGACUGCUAAAAUUCAAUGCUUCAUGUACUGUUGAUGCAUAUAAUUUGGUAAUGUUUGCAGUGAUUGUUUUGUGGUUGAUAUAUUCUAAAACAUGGCUGCUUCAUCAGCUUUCUUUUAAGUACUCCCUCUAGUCCUAUUUAUAGGACAGAGAGAGAAAAAUUUUUUUGUCUUUAAGUCACGUCAUUAAAUUUUUAUUAGAAAUUUUCUCUUUCACCCUCCAUUGAAUGUUGGAGAGAAAAAAUAUGUUAUUGAAGGUGUAUAUUUAAUAGGGACAAAGUUAAGAAUUUAUUAAAUUUUAAGACAGAGUUAAUGAGUUUUAAGGUUUUUCUUAGUAUUGGUAAAAUAUGUUGGAAGUGACUUAUAAAUAAGACUAGAAUAGUACAAUAUUAAUGGAAAAUGGAACAUGGUAAUUGAUAAGGUUCAUUUCAAUCUGAGUUUUUAAGCUGUUGUGUCAAAGCCCAUGUAUAGUUUUUGUUUUAAUCUCCAAUAGAAUUAUUAGCAGUCAUGCCCUGAUGAUUUUCUGAUGGAGCCGUUUAUAUCAUCAAUAUCUUUGAAAAAUUUGCCUUGUAAGAAUGACAUAGGAGGUGCAGCCCCAGUGCCGAGUUGUGUACUUUUGUACUCCCAUAAACUUGAUGAAAGGAGUGGGCAAAUGUUCUAACAAACACAAUGGGUGCCGGGUGGACGGAUUUUGGAAAGAUAACUUGUUCAAUGGAGUAUUUAAAUGUUAAGGUGUAUUCACAUUUGGUUCCUCUUUAGGCGAUGAUGAUUUGUCUGCUGCGUAAUAUUUAGAGUAUAAUCCCAAUAUAAAGCUAUUUUUGUUUUUCCUAUUUAUAGCGACAACAUUGUUAUUAUUAUAAACAAUAUAACAUAUGUAAUAUUGGUACUAGCAUAGUAAACAGCCAACAUUGAUUCCAAAUUGCAACUCUUACAACUUUUGUUGUCACCAUUCUUUCUUGGAAUCUAAGAAGCAUGUAUAUUUGCUUCUUGCAGUUGUAUAUGGUUUUGGAUGAAAUCUUUCCAAAUUGUUUUUUUUUUUUUUGAAACUGUUCUACAACCCAAAAAAGUGUUCUUAUAAAAUAUGCUAAAAAACGCCCUUGGAAUAAAUAAAAACUCAACGGACUAUAAUAAUACACACAGGAAAGGCUCUGAACUCUUGAUGCUUCUUAAAUAAUAAUGAUGAUGAUGAUGAUCGCAUUCUAUAUAACAUUUGUAGUAUUUUAUUAAUACGUCCUGCGAAAUCUUUUCCCCAUCUUUUCCAAAAGUUACCACAUCACUGUAUGGGAACUUUUUCAGAAACAGUAUGCAAGUCAUAUCUGUGCAUCAUAAUUUUGUUCCCUCUACCCAUUUUUAUCCGGUCUUAAAAAAGCUUUAGGUAAACUAUUGCUAAUUAUUUGUCAUUUUUAAUAGUCAAAUACAUGUGCUACUGACUAGAUGGUUUACGCUUCAUGUUGUACUUAAACACUUAUUGCUGAUUUUGAAGCAUCAGAAGGCAUAUACCCGAGCUUGUGCAGAGGAGACUGAGUCGGUGUGUUUAUGACUUGUUGAAAAUGAUAUGUUGGAAAGUUCAUUAGAUAAGGUCCUCGAGCUUUAGUUUUAGAUGUUAUUACUAUCUUUUCCUUCUCAAUAUAUCACCCCAAGUCCAACAUCCCUACCACUUCAUUUCUAGUGGAGGUUACUUCUAUUUUACAGAAGAACCUGGAUAAUGCUAAAGCUUGUUUAGAAGUUAUUGUUGGUGACAUGCUGUUCUCAAUGGACCCGGUGACAGUAACUCAGGUCAGAUUGCCAAUUACCUGAGUGUUUGAGCCUAAAAUAUUUUGUCCGGAGAAGAAUCUCGAGAACACCAUCUCGUGGUCUUCUGGGCUUGAAAAGUGAAUAGGCCAAAUCCAUUUUUAUGCUAAAUUUCAACUUAAUGAUGAAGUAUAGGGUGGCAAAGGUCGAGUUCUCAACCACCUUGUCAUAGAGAUUGAAAUACCAUACCAAAGACCAUUGCACAUUCCAAAAGCAUGAAUGGUUACAAACUCAUAAUAUUUUAUUUAUAUAUGUGUAACGUAUGAUUCUCAUUUUAUUCAUUACGUCUUGAUGGUUUGGAAGCAAAAUAUUUUAUGAAAGUAAUUAUGUUUGAACUUGAUGUUGUAUUUUCAUUUUGAAAAUUGAGACGGAAAACUGUUAUAAAUGACGGGUGCAAAUAAUACCCAAUCCUUUUUUUUUUCUGUAUUCCUUUUCAUUUCCGUAUUUAGAAAGAAAACAUAUGAUUUACAGUCCUUAUGUUGGAUCUCUUACUUUCCCUUCUCCAUAUUUGUAUUGUACUCUUUUUUAAUGUAAAUUUUUAGUUACGUUUAUCAUGUAAACCUUACACAGGGUUCUUGAUGAUAACUAUUUGCAUUGCAAUUCUUGGUAUUUCAUGUAAAUUUGAUCAGGUUACAACUUGUCUCAUUAUUUGUGAUGUACAUCAACGAAGAAUUUGACAAGCUUCUACAGCUACAGUUACUGCUCGAGAAUCACAGAGAACGAAGUUAAUAAACACCUAUAUUCAAGUUGGCUCUUGAGAAUGCUAGUGGCAACCAUGUUUAAGCAAAUGCUGAUAUUCAGAGGGGACCCACAAAAGCUUCAGUUUGCGAAUGAAAUCUGUCGGCAACACUACGCAAGAUGAAGAUGACAAGCACUUCAAAAUCAUUUGUUCUCCAAUGAUGUCAUCUCAAUCUUAUCAAAAUGGUUUUAGAUGUAAAUGGUUUAUGAUAUAUAUAAUACUGUCAUUGUUCUUAGUCCGAAAUGAGAUGAUGCCUAGUCUAAUGCAUGAUCCAGUCAACCGGUCUACUCCUACAAUUUCUAGAAAGCAUCAUAAACAAUUGAAAAGUUGGCUAUUGAGAAUCUUAGUCUUUAAGGGAUUUGAUAUGUUUUAAUCUCACAAUUUCUUAAAAAAAAAAAUUCACAUGUAUUGGUGCAUAAAUAUAAAAAGCAUCAUAAAUAAUUUAAGGUUGUCAUGAAAACAAUCUUGGUACAUGAAUAUUUUUCAAGAGUUGAAACAAUCAAGUUCUUGUUUGAUACACGAAAACCAUUGGAUAUGACAAUAGAAAGAAAACGUAAGUCCACAUCAUUUUAAAAUAGUGUUGUUCUUAUAUUGGAUAUCUCAGAUGACUUGAUGCUUUCUGGAACCCUGUUAUGAUGGUCAAGGAAACGGUAUACCAAAUAGCCGUUAAUUUAUUUUGUUUGAAUGUGAUGGUCUAAGUAUUAGCAUAUUAAAUUCAAGUGUUUUGAUUGUUACUUGAUAUCCAAGACACAGAAGAUGAAGAUAUUGAUGUGAAAAGGGCUUCUUGUUGAGCUGUGUUUGUUUGAACAGGCAAGAGCAAAAGGUUAGGUGGAGUUACACUAAUGAGAUUGUAUUAAAACAGGGCAUGGAACUCUGCCACAUGGGGACCCAUAAACGACGGUGAGUGUCUGCAUCUCAAAUCUCUGAAAAGUCAAAAAAGCAAUCCAAGCUUUUCAGGAAAUGUCUGUGGCGAAUUUAUACGCAUUAUUGACAGUACAAAUAUUCCUUCAGGCCUUUGGAAAAUAUACCGUUCUUUGGCAAGCUAUAUGCUUCACCUUCAUCUCCUCAUCUUCUCCAUCACUAAGCUUAGGGUGAGCUUGUGGCAUCAACGUUGGUACUUCAAGGUGUUGAUGAAGUGAAGGUCUAGGCAACAAAGAUGUAAAAGAUGAAGGAGGUGAGGGAGAGGAGGGAAAUAAGGAUCCAACAAAUGGCAGCACUGGAGGCAAGAGGAAAUGGAGGGGACCAAGAAAAUGAGGUUGAGGAAGAAGAGGAGAAUUUAGAAGAGCUUGUGAACCUCCUUCUUCUAGAGUUCAAUGGCACACUUCUUCUCUUAAGUCAUUUUGAAGUCAAGCUAGAUUAUAGUGUUGAGGGCUUGUAAUGCCGUCUCCUUCUAAUAGUAGUGGUUGCCUUUGUAGUCCGCAAUGGAUGAAGGAAUGAAGAAUUUGCAAUUGCAAGCAAGCAGAAGAACGUUGGGAAUUUUCUAAUAUGAGGUUGUAAAUGAAUUAAACAAAAAUGGUAUAAUAGGAUAAGUAAAGGCAGUGAAUUAGAUUGGGUCUGCAUCCAUAAAAUUCAUAUAGGAUUCCAUGCCUU